rnacentral:rRNA from 1 species
CCUACGGGGGGCAGCAGUGGGGAAUAUUGGACAAUGGGCGAAAGCCUGAUCCAGCAAUACCGCGUGAGUGAUGAAGGUCUUCGGAUUGUAAAGCUCUUUUAGUGGGGAAGAUAAUGACGGUACCCACAGAAAAAGCACCGGCAAACUUCGUGCCAGCAGCCGCGGUAAUACGAAGGGUGCUAGCGUUGUUCGGAAUCACUGGGCGUAAAGCGUGCGUAGGCGGCUUUGUAAGUCGAUUGUGAAAUCCCUGAGCUUAACUUAGGAACUGCAAUCGAAACUGCUUAGCUUGAAUAUGGUCGAGGGUAGUAGAAUUCCUAGUGUAGGGGUGAAAUCCGUAGAUAUUAGGAGGAAUACCGGUGGCGAAAGCGACUACCUAGGCCAUUAUUGACGCUGAGGCACGAAAGCGUGGGGAGCAAACAGGAUUAGAUACCCGUGUAGUC